rnacentral:lncRNA from 1 species
GGAUCGAGCUGUGCGAUCAGAGGUUUUGGGAUGGUCAGCUGGAGGACACAUGAUAGUACAGUGAGGAGAUUGGGGAAGAUCCGAUACAUACUCAAUUUCAGACAGAAUCUUAUCUCACUGAGUAGACUGGAUUCGAGAGACUACAGGACGGUGCUGGUAGAGGAAUCCUGAAGGUGUUGCAUGGUGAUAGGAUCAUUCUAGAGGGGAAGAAGAGGAUGAGAGGACAUUAUUACCUGACGGAGAGUCCAGUGCGAGAUGGAGCUUCAAGAGCCAGAGGAAGCUCAGAGCAAGGUGGAGCACCAGGUGGUGGUGGAUCGGAUAUGGGAUGCGAGACUCGGAAGGAUGAAAGGCGAUAUCACAAGGUUAGAUUUUUAUUGCCACAGAAUGAUAUCCCGAGUGGGUCUCAGAUUAGGAGAAGCACAGCAUACGAUAGAGAUGGAAUCAAACGGCCUGAUUCGACUCUCAUGUCUGUCCAUCCAUGAUCAGCAGGCGAUUAUCCUAGGGCAUGAGGGUAAGGAGAUUCAGAAGUUCUCAGAGUUAGAAGGAGAUCAAAUAUCGAGUCGAGAUAGAGAUUGUUAGGAUCUGAUAUCUCGAGAUUCGUUCCAU